rnacentral:rRNA from 1 species
UACGGAGGGUGCGAGCGUUGUCCGGAAUCACUGGGCGUAAAGGGUGCGUAGGCGGGUCUUUUAAGUCAGGGGUGAAAUCCUGGAGCUCAACUCCAGAACUGCCUUUGAUACUGAGGAUCUUGAGUUCGGGAGAGGUGAGUGGAACUGCGAGUGUAGAGGUGAAAUUCGUAGAUAUUCGCAAGAACACCAGUGGCGAAGGCGGCUCACUGGCCCGAUACUGACGCUGAGGCACGAAAGCGUGGGGAGCAAACAGGG